ACGCAAGUGUGAAACUUGAAGGAAUUGACGGAAGGGCACCACAAGAACGCGUGGAGCAUGUGGCUUAAUUUGACCCAACGCGGGAAAUCUUACCAGGUCCGAACACGCUGAGGAUUGACAGGUUUUUAUAAGACUAUAUAUAAUUAUUUUUAAUUAUAUAUAGCAAUUCUUAUAUCAAAUAUGCUAGUCCUUUCAUGAUUGCGUGAUAGGUGGUGCAUGGCCGUUCUUAGUUCGUGGAGUGAUCUGUCUGCUUAAUUGCGUUUCACUUUAAUGAGUAUAUAUUGAAUACUUUGUUUGCACAUAAAGUUGCUGCAUUGUUUUUUAACUUUGCACCUUUAUUGUUGCACGGUAUUCUUUUAAAUAUACUCUGAAG
rnacentral:rRNA from 1 species